UCCUUUUUUUAAGAUUCCACAUGUAAGUGACCGUGUCUGGCGUUUGUCUUUCUCUCUCGGGCCACUUCACUCAAGCCAUGUGGAUGCUUCCCUGCCAUUUCCAACCCAUGGCCAGCACGUCCCUCACACGCCUGCUGGGGAAACUGAAGAGGUGCUUUUCAAAAAGUGCUUUGGGACCUUUACAUGAAAGGAAGCUCGUAAGUCAAGUGAUGUGUUCCUCUAUUUUCAAAUAGAAGAGAUUAGUCUACCCGAUGCUUUUUUUCCCUUUGAAAUUGCCCACUGAGCAGGGAGUGGACCCGAGUGAGUGAUGGCUUCCGUGUCGCGAGUGUUGACCAAUGCCGGCAGGAGGAAGCUGUCUUUGCUCAGCACACCCGGUGUGACAUUUGGUGCAAGAGCGCCUUCAAGAAACAAAUGUGUGCUCAUUUCACCUUACAAUUGUUUAUUUAUAACCAAUGAAUACGGUGCUUUACAGAAAUAAUGUCAGUGUGGAAACGUGUCUACUCUGAGACGCGCUACCAGGGAAGCUGCUGUUUUAAUCUAUUGGUUGGUAACUGGAAGUGGAGUGAACACGCGACAGAGAAGGAACUUUUUAUCAUCGUAUACUGAGCUGGAGGAGUCUUUGCGGAUCAUCUGAUCCAACCUCCAAGUUUCACAGGAGGAAUAUUGGGGAACAGCAUUUUUCAGCAAGAUCACGAGACAUCGCGGCCAGCAUCGCAGUCUCCACUUGCGCCUCAGCGCCGCUCGGCGCUGACAGUCAGUGGUUUCGGGGUCUCACCUUCAGACCAGACAGGCACUAGCAUGCACUGCUCAGGAAGACACUUCUUCCCCACGUAAGACAGGACCACAGAUACCACCGAAAGAGUCCUUGAAUUACUCCGGAGCCCCAGCACACAGAGGUAGGAUCAGGAGACACUGUCUGCGGCACCUGCGGGGCUGGAGGAAGCCCCACACCUGAGAUUACCUGGACGCAGCAAGUGAAGACCGCGUGGGCGUGCGUUGUAAUUUUUCUUCACAUUCCAGUAACACAUUCGUUCUUGCACAAAAUUUCAUUGAUUUUCUUCUGCCACAUGUAUAAUCAGCUCUGAUUUUUUCUGGGUUUCUUCAUAUAAUAUUCUAAAAGAUAUUGUAGAUAGCUUGUGUCCUUUUUGUGUAUAAUUUGGAUUCCUAAUUGUAGCCAGAAACUCAGACAUGUUUGUAAAAUGUGUUUUUAAUUCUUGCAGAAAACUAAUACAUGUAGGUUAAAAAUAGCUUGCAGGAAGGUGAUUAUGCAUACUAUUAAAUCUGGCAUCUGGCCCAGGAGAAAGACUUCAGUUGAAAGAAGACUUCAAUUUAUUUCCAUCUGGAAGGCGUUCAAGAGUACUUGAGAAACAGAAAUCACUGCUUGUAAUGUCUUAAGACUGCUUGCUCUGCCUUGUGACAGCGUCAACUCAGGCGUCACGUGUUCAAGGUUGCGAAGGCACUGACUAGGGUUUAGAAGGGGGCAAAUCAAGAAUCAUCUUGCUGAUGGAAAGAAUGAGAUAAAGGUUUUUAAAUACAGUGACUGAAGAAACUCAGAUCAUUAGGAAGGAAACCGAGAAACUGAAAAGGAAGAAGUAAAAUGAACGGGUUUAAACCGUAGAUGGAAAUGUCUGUGAAAACAUUGACCACAUCACAUAGAAGGUUACAAAUGAAAGAAGAGUUUACUCCGAGAAAUGUUUAACAUCCGCAAGUCUUAACCGUUUGUUGUUGAGUGUUUUUUAUGGAAAGACAAUACAUAUACAGAAAGAGCAUGAAACAUAAAUGUAAUAUAGCAAAUGCUCGGAACGAACAUCUGUUUAACACGGACCAGGCUGAGAAACACCGUCCCUUCAUCAGAAGCUAGCCAGGUGUCCCUUAACACCAGCCUUCACUCCUCCCUUGGAAAUGACCUCUGUCCUGACUUUAGAGUCCUUGGAGGAGUUGAAAGCUGGUCAGACGCAAGCAAAAGCAGAAUGAGAGAAUUGGCAGGUGGGUCUGUUGGAGCAAAGUCGCUGGAGUAAAUUCAAGUUUCCGAGCGACGGGGAGUUCUGGAGGCGACAGUGCGAAGGUCCGGGGCGUGUCCAGGAGCUGUUCCAGAAAGGGCAGAAAUAAAUUAGAAGCCAACCGUUUGUCGGUGUAAUUCUGGAGAUUCUUUUAAGCUUCUUGGCAGGAAAAUAAAGUGAUUUCCAGUACCUAGAAAUAACCAUAAAAAAUAAUUUUGUAGUGAAUAAUUGACUAAAUUCAAAGAGGAGGGAACGCAUUCCAGCUGGAGAAAGGAUGAGUUGAGGGCACAGAUGGACAUCCAUGGGGACAAUUCGGGAGAGAGGGUGGCCAUGUCUGGCAGAAUAGAGGCCGUGCCUAUGAGAGUGACAGAAAGGCGCAGAGUGGCUGCAGGGCUCCUGACUCGGGCUUCUAGUUCAUAAUCUCCCCACUAGACGGUGUUGAUCAAGAUAGUGACGUGAUGGAGGAGAGUUCUAAACUAGCCAUACUUUCCCUAGUGCUGAGGUUCUAGGCCAUGGAGACUUUGGUCCUUUUAGAGCAGUUGGAACCGUGGUGAAUAUGAUGAUGAUGGUUAUGGUGGACGGCAGGCGAGUCUCACAGCUGUGCUCUGACUGACACUUAAACAUGCCUUCGUAGGUGGAGGGUAUUUGCAGUUUGUGGGCACGGAUGGUAAUUUAUUUCUCUUUAUGUUUCUGGUACGUAGGCCCCGUGCCUGGUGCCUAGAAAGCACUCAAUAAACGCUUGUUGCAAUGAGUUGCCUUAUUUCAUAAGGCUAUCGAUCCUUCUCCAUUAAACCAAAUGUGUUUGUUGGCCUAUUUUCAAGGAAAAGAGCUAAUAAGUAAAUUCUACUUAUGCAAAACUUAGUGUUUUUACAUAAGAUUGCUGCUUGGUUUGCAUGAGGCUGACAGUGAAAGGAGUACUUUGAACCAUGGAGACUUGCUUUGAAUUUUUGAAGGAACAUCAUGGUAAUGAGGAAG